UUUAUUUUUGGUUUACAAAUAUAAGUUAAACUAAUUAUUGCAUUUUUUAUCAAUUGUCGUUUGAGCACGUACCUACCUGUCCAAUUAGUUAGAACAAGUCAAGUACUAUUUUUAACUUUUAGUAGACGUCAGACGUCCAUGUUUGUUCCAGUCAUCGGUGGUUUUUUUAUUGCGAAAUUAUUUCCCUCGACAUUUUCAGAAUAGAGCAUAGAGUAAUUAAACAUUUGCACAAUGCGACAACGUCCCCACAUCCGUGAGCAUCUAUAACUAAUAAAAAUGGUGGACAUUUGAAUGCGGUAAUCACGUUUGCUUGGUAACAGUUGAAACAAUUAACAAUUUUAUGUUUUAUGUGCAAUUUAUUAAUGUACAUUAAUAUUUUUUUAAUUUCUGCUUGAAUCUAGUUCUUUGAUGAACAUAAACUGGAUAUUUUGUAAGAUUUUCAGGUUUUUUGUCUUUGCGAAUGUUUGUAUCACUAAUAAAAUUGCAGAAACAAAAAGUGCAAUUUAGAUUCAAGGUCGUUUCGCUGCACCUUCAGACUCGACUAGACUCGCCAUCGCCAUCGCAUCGCAUCAACAAUAAACAACAAUCGAGGCACAAACAAAAUGGAUUCCACUUACUGCAUUUCAACAUAAAAUACGAGACAUUUAAAAAUUUCCAGGAUUUAUAUCAAUACUACAUCAGAGUGUUUUGACGUGAUGUACGUGCAUGAAAAUUUUAGUGUGCACGUAAUCACCGACCACAUUACGUAAUUGAAAAUGUACUUGGUUUGGCCUGCGCCUUGUACUUAAUUACGGCGUUUGCAUACCGAGGACUGCGCUUCGCAUGAUGCAUGAUGCACACGCAUCCUAUGCAUUGUGAUUUCGUGGUCGCCGUUGAUUUGUGAGUUGUGACCAUGCAUAAAAUAUGCGAGUACAAAAGUACAAGUACAGCACGCUAUUCGUUCACCACGUCGCCAACAAACAAACUCAAAUAUGCACCUAGUUUAAAGUAUUAUUUAAAGUUAUAACUUACAACUUAUUUAAGUGUGUACCCUGGACUACACUUACAUCGGCUGAAUACUAUAUUUAUGUAAAUAUUUAUGUUUAAAGGUAAUGAAAACAACGAAGAAUUUUGUCAUUUUUAAACAUUUGGAGGUUGCUACAGGAUAUAAGGUGAUUUUGUUGUGCUUUAACUCUUAAUUAUGAUAUCUAUUCUAAAGUAAGAAGAUUAAGUUUAAAUAUCUAGUUUAAAGUUUUGCUUAAAAAAUGAUGGAGAAAUAAUAAUGAAUUUUUCACCUUCUUCGGAAAGUAUUAGAAAGUAUUAGACUAAAAGAACUGUAAAAAAAAACUGUAAAAUAUUGCAAGAAAACUUAAGAAAUACCAAGUGUCAUUCUGCGCAAUAGUUUCGCAAAAAUGCGAAAAGUUGGCAGAUUUUUUCCUAAAUAUUGAUGAUAUUGGAAAAUUGACUGAAUAUGUCUGAUCGCAUUGCAAUUCUCUAUUGACUGGUGUUUUUCAUUUUGUUCUAGCUGCAUUUUGAGUUUUAAGGCCAAAAAAUUAUCAAAUGUAACCUCUUGACUAAUUUUGGGUGUUUUUGUUCAACUUUAUAGAAUCAAAAAACUAAAACUGCCAUUUUAUAUAUCCUUAUUAUGACAUGAAGAAAAUGCAAAAAGUUCAGUUCAAACUUUUAUGGUUCAGGAGGAAAACGCAUCGAAAACUUAUUUUUUACAGCUUUAAAAAUACGUUUUCUAAAAUCUUAUCUUAUUUAGAAUCCUAUGCUAAACAUGACCCCGUUUUACAUUUUCGAUUAUCUUUAUUAGAUAGCCAGAUAAUUGAGGAUUAAACAUUGUGGCAAGUACAUGCUAGAUAGCAAACCCUUAGUACUAUUAAGCAGGAAGUUAUAGAAAUAAGAUUAUACUAUGCCACGGUUUACAAUGGUUUUAUUAAUUUUUGCUAAUUUUUAUAAACAUUAAAUCACAUAGUCGGCGCCUCCGCCAUAUUUUUAAUAAUUAUUUCGUGUUUUAAGAGAUUAAAAAAAGUCAACACUUUUUAUUACGGGAAAUCAUCAGAAUCAACUUUACAGACACAUUUUUUAAAAUAGUUAUUUCUAAUUUAACUUUGAUUUUAAAGAUAGAUGUCAAACAUUUUCUUAAAUUUAUUCCUUUUUUGCUAGAAACAUGAGACUUGAUUGUUUUGUGGCGACUAGUCGACGCGUGGCGAAUGAAGGCCGCAGAAAUAAUGCAUAUAGUUUGUUUAUUAAUCAAUAGGUGACGCUAUAUGUACUAUAACAAAAUAAAAUUUGACUUUAAACGUA